CCUACGGGUGGCUGCAGUGAGGAAUAUUGGUCAAUGGGCGCGAGCCUGAACCAGCAACGUAGCGUGCAGGAUGACUGCCCUACGGGUUGUAAACUUCUUUUAUAAAGGAAUAUAGUGAGGCACGUGUGCCUUUUUGAAUGUACUUUAUGAAUAAGGCUCGGCUAACUCCGUGACAGCAGCCGCGGUAAUACGGAGGAUCCGAGCGUUAUCCGGAUUUAGUGUGUUUAAAGGGAGCGUAGAUGGGUUGUUAAGUCAGUUGUGAAAGUUUGCGGCUCAACCGUAAAAUUGCAAUUGAUACUGGCAGCCUUGAGUACAGUUGAGGUAGGUGGAAUUCGUGGUGUAGCGGUGAAAUGCUUAGAUAUCACGAAGAACUCCGAUUGCGAAGGCAGCUUACUAAACUGCCACUGACAUUGAUGCUCGAAAGUGUAGGUAUCAAACAGGAUUAGAUACCCCUGUAGUC
rnacentral:rRNA from 1 species